rnacentral:lncRNA from 1 species
ACAGUUUUGAAGAAAAGAAUAAAACACCAUGCAAUCAGCACUCACAUCCCCAGAAAAGAAAUACAGACAUUUUCUCCCAGACAUGGCAAAGUUCAUGAGACCUUAGGCAGCACCUUUACCCAACAACCUUCCACCCAAAGAACCGAGGGUGGAGAUGGGGAUGAGGGGAUGGGGACAAGAGUCAGAAAAAUUGAAAGCCUAAAAUAAUCAACCUUCAAAUGAAAUUUCCUUGAAAAUGGAAAUUGAAAAGCAGGGAAUAUUCCUUUCCAUUUUCUGUCUAUGUGUUGAAUAUUUUACCAAGAGAAUGUGUACAUUCUACAAUAAAAUAACUGGCAACCUUCGCCUCCCAGGUUCAAGCAAUUCUCCUGCCUCAGCCUCCCAAUUCUCCUGCCUCAGCCUCCCAAGUAGCUGGG